GCUAUUAAUUUGAUUUAUCAUCAAAUAUAUUUAAUUUUAUGAUCAUAAAAUUUAGUUAUUCGACUUAUAUCCACAUUUAUAUCUAUACUUUUAAUAUUCGAUUUAUAUCCGUAUUCUUUUAAAACAAAUAUGGAUAUGAAUUUUUGUAUCUAAAUAAUAUCCAUAUCUAUAUUUGUAUUUAUAUUUAUUUAAUAAAAUAAAUAUAAAUAUGGAUACACUGAUAUUAAAUCUGUAUC
rnacentral:lncRNA from 1 species